rnacentral:rRNA from 1 species
AGAUUGAACGCUGGCGGCAUGCCUUACACAUGCAAGUCGAACGGUAGAGUAGCAAUACUCGAGAGUGGCGAACGGGUGAGUAAUAUAUCGGAACGUGCCCAGUCGUGGGGGAUAACGUAGAGAAAUUUACGCUAAUACCGCAUACGAUCUACGGAUGAAAGCGGGGGAUUCGCAAGAACCUCGCGCGAUUGGAGCGGCUGAUAUCAGAUUAGGUUGUUGGUGAGGUAAAAGCUCACCAAGCCGACGAUCUGUAGCUGGUUUGAGAGGACGACCAGCCACACUGGGACUGAGACACGGCCCAGACUCCUACGGAGGCAGCAGUGGGAAUUUGGACAAUGGGGGAAACCCUGAUCCAGCCAUCCCGCGUGUGCGAUGAAGGCCUUCGGUUGUAAAGCGACUUUGGCUAGGAAGAAACGGACGUGCCGUAAUACGGACGUCACUGACGUACCGUCGCUAGAAGUAAGACACCGGCUAACUACGUAGCCAGCAGCG